rnacentral:rRNA from 1 species
UAGUCCACGCCGUAAACGAUGUCAACUAGCCGUUGGGAGCAUAUAAGCUCUGAGUGGCGCAGCUAACGCGAUAAGUUGACCGCCUGGGGAGUACGCCGGCAACGGUAAAACUCAAAGGAACUGACGGGGGCCCGCACAAGCGGUGGAGUAUGUGGUUUAAUUCGAAGCAACGCGCAGAACCUUACCUACCCUUAACAUUUCACGCUCGCCUCAGAGAUGAGGUUUUCUCUUCAGAGACGUGAGGAUAGGUGCUGCAUGGCUGUCGUCAGCUCGUGUCGUAAGAUGUCUGGUUAAGUCCAAUAACGAGCGCAACCCUUAUCCUUAGUUACCAGCAUUGAGUUGGGGACUCUAGGGAGACUGCCGGUGUUAAACCGGAGGAAGGCGGGGAUGACGUCAAGUCCUCAUGGCCCUUACGGGUAGGGCUACACACGUACUACAAUGGCAGAAACAAACCGAAGCGAUAUUGCGAGAUGGAGCUAAACGGUAAAACACUAGUCUCAGUCCGGA